rnacentral:rRNA from 1 species
GACGUAGGGCGCGAGCGUUGUCCGGAUUUAUUGGGCGUAAAGAGCUCGUAGGCGGCUUGUCGCGUCGACUGUGAAAACCCGCGGCUCAACUGCGGGCCUGCAGCCGAUACGGGCAGGCUAGAGUUCGGUAGGGGAGACUGGAAUUCCUGGUGUAGCGGUGAAAUGCGCAGAUAUCAGGAGGAACACCGGUGGCGAAGGCGGCUUGCUGGGCCUUACCUGACGCUGAGGAGCGAAAGCGUGGGGAGCGAACAGG